rnacentral:rRNA from 1 species
AAUGAACCGGCGAGUUACGAUUUGAUGCAAGGUUAAGCAGUAAAUGUGGAGCCGUAGCGAAAGCGAGUCUGAAUAGGGCGUUUAGUAUUUGGUCGUAGACCCGAAACCAGGUGAUCUACCCUUGGUCAGGUUGAAGUUCAGGUAACACUGAAUGGAGGACCGAACCGACUUACGUUGAAAAGUGAGCGGAUGAACUGAGGGUAGCGGAGAAAUUCCAAUCGAACCUGGAGAUAGCUGGUUCUCUCCGAAAUAGCUUUAGGGCUAGCCUCAAGUGAUGAUUAUUGGAGGUAGAGCACUGUUUGGACGAGGGGCC